rnacentral:snRNA from 1 species
AGCUUUGCACAGUGGCAGUAUCAUAGCCAAGGAGGUUUAUCCGAGGCAUGAUUAUUGCUAAUUGGAACAGAAAUGGGCAGAAAUUCUUUUCCACUUUAUUUUGCUCAGGGUAAUUCCU